rnacentral:rRNA from 1 species
UACGAGGACGAACGCUGGCGGCGUGCUUAACACAUGCAAGUCGUGCGGAAAGGCCCCUUUGGGGGUGCUCGAGCGGCGAACGGGUGAGUAACACGUGAGUAAUCUGCCCUGCACUUUGGGAUAACUGCCGGAAACGGUGGCUAAUACUGGAUAGGACUGCAUCCUGCAUGGGGUGUGGUGGAAAGCCUUUGGGUGGUGUGGGAUGUGCUCGCGGCCUAUCAGCUUGAUGGUGGGGUAGUGGCCUACCAUGGCUUUGACGGGUAGCCGGCCUGAGAGGGUGACCGGUCACACUGGGACUGAGACACGGCCCAGACUCCUGCGGGAGGCAGCAGUGGGGAAUAUUGGACAAUGGGCGGAAGCCUGAUCCAGCAACGCCGCGUGAGGGAUGACGGCCUUCGGGUUGUAAACCUCUUUCGCUCAUGACGAAGCUCUGCUUUUUUGGGUGGGGUGACGGUAGUGGGAGAAGAAGCACCGGCCAACUACGUG